rnacentral:rRNA from 1 species
AAUAGAUACCCAGGUAGUCCACGCCGUAAACGAUGAGUGCUAAGUGUUAGAGGGUUUCCGCCCUUUAGUGCUGCAGCUAACGCAUUAAGCACUCCGCCUGGGGAGUACGGCCGCAAGGCUGAAACUCAAAGGAAUUGACGGGGGCCCGCACAAGCGGUGGAGCAUGUGGUUUAAUUCGAAGCAACGCGAAGAACCUUACCAGGUCUUGACAUCCUCUGCCAACCCUAGAGAUAGGGCGUUCCCCUUCGGGGGACAGAGUGACAGGUGGUGCAUGGUUGUCGUCAGCUCGUGUCGUGAGAUGUUGGGUUAAGUCCCGCAACGAGCGCAACCCUUGAUCUUAGUUGCCAGCAUUCAGUUGGGCACUCUAAGGUGACUGCCGGUGACAAACCGGAGGAAGGUGGGGAUGACGUCAAAUUAUCAUGCCCCUUAUGACCUGGGCUACACACGUGCUACAAUGGAUGGUACAAAGAGCUGCGAACCCGCGAGGGUAAGCCAAUCUCAUAAAGCCAUUCUCAGUUCGGAUUGUAGG